rnacentral:tRNA from 1 species
GGGAAGGUGCCAGAGUGGUCGAUUGGGGCCGCCUGCUAAGCGGUUGCUGGGACUAUAAAUCUCAGCCCAGGGUUCGAAUCCCUGCCUUCCCG